rnacentral:tRNA from 1 species
GGCCUUGUAAGCUAGUGGUAAACUGCCUCCUUGACGUGGAGGAUUCCGCAGUUCAAUUCUGCGCAAGGCCA